AAAAAUUAUGACUUAAAAACUGAGGAGCUGAGGGUGUAAGAGAACUGAAUCUUCAUCUUGAUGGUAGGAAAUCAGUGGAUGGUGUUAAAAAUUGAAAUAAUCAAGAAAGAGAAACGUGGAGUUAAAUACUAGAAGACAAAGUUAAGAGAAAAAAGUGAUGGCUUCCGGGGAAUGAAAACUAAAGUUGAGAUGGGCUAGGAAGGGCCAAUUUUUACACUAAGCAUUAUACUUUCUUGAGCUAGGUACACAUAUGACUUUGAUAAAAAUUAAAAUUAAAUGCCACUUAAAAAAAAAAAAACUCAGGUAGAAAGGGCGGGGGCGGCCCGGGAGGUCUCCUGCGGCGCACAGCCACAGCGGGCACAGAGAGGGAGCUGCACUGACCAGUUCUCAGGGCCACGGAGCGUUAACAGAGCUCGGGGCUGAUCUUGGCCAGAAUAUGAGGCCUGAAGGAGGCGGGGUGAGGCUCCUGGGCUCCGUCAUCCAGGGCGAGUGUCUUUAGGCGGCCUUGGUUUUAAACAGGAAACGUCGCACAAGGCUUGGGUGUGCACAGUGUGAAGUGAAUCCCCGCUCCCAGCCCCGCCCGGCCAGCCUCGCGUCCCCUCCUGGGUGCACAUGCACCCUGCAGUGGUGCACGCUCCCCCACCUGGACCCAGGGUGUUCCCACCUGGCAGCACAUCUUGCAGAAUUCUGGGUACAGACGACGCUGAAAUUCAAUAUUUACUGAACACCGUGUGGCAGCCCAGACCGACGCCCGUGGAAUCCGGCUGUUGACGGCGCUCUGCCAGCUUCACACGGAGCCGGCUGUUGGUGGAGAAGCUGGUGAAGGCGCAGGAACCAGAGAUCAUCUGUACACACAAAACUAUUCCAAAAUAAGAGGUUUUGAAGUCCA